AAAUCAUGAUGCGGGCAUCUUCUGAACAGUUCCCCAAAUUGCUCCCACACCUCAAAUAAGAAUUCUGCUUCAUUUUGUUUGAAGCAACAUAUCUCCGUCAUAAGCUU